rnacentral:tRNA from 1 species
AUUUAAAUAGUUUAACUUGAAAAUUUUGAGUUGUGGACUCAAGGAUAUAAAAUUUUAUUUUAAAUA